AUUGAACGCUGGCGGCAGGCCUAACACAUGCAAGUCGAACGGUAACAGGAAGAAGCUUGCUUCUUUGCUGACGAGUGGCGGACGGGUGAGUAAUGUCUGGGAAACUGCCUGAUGGAGGGGGAUAACUACUGGAAACGGUAGCUAAUACCGCAUAACGUCGCAAGACCAAAGAGGGGGACCUUCGGGCCUCUUGCCAUCGGAUGUGCCCAGAUGGGAUUAGCUAGCAGGUGGGGUAACGGCUCACCUAGGCGACGAUCCCUAGCUGGUCUGAGAGGAUGACCAGCCACACUGGAACUGAGACACGGUCCAGACUCCUACGGGAGGCAGCAGUGGGGAAUAUUGCACAAUGGGCGCAAGCCUGAUGCAGCCAUGCCGCGUGUAUGAAGAAGGCCUUCGGGUUGUAAAGUACUUUCAGCGGGGAGGAAGGGAGUAAAGUUAAUACCUUUGCUCAUUGACGUUACCCGCAGAAGAAGCACCGGCUAACUCCGUG
rnacentral:rRNA from 1 species